rnacentral:rRNA from 1 species
UACCAGCACCCCGAGUGGUCGGGACGAUUAUUGGGCCUAAAGCAUCCGUAGCCGGUUUUACAAGUCCUCCGUUAAAUCCAACUGCUUAACAGAUGGGCUGCGGAGGAUACUAUAAGACUAGGAGGCAGGAGAGGCAAGCGGUACUCAGUGGGUAGGGGUAAAAUCCGUUGAUCCAUUGAAGACCACCAGUGGCGAAGGCGGCUUGCCAGAAUGCGCUCGACGGUGAGGGAUGAAAGCUAGGGGAGCGAAUGGG